rnacentral:rRNA from 1 species
CAAUGGGCGCAAGCCUGAUGCAGCGACGCCGCGUGGGGGAUGAAGGCCUUCGGGUUGUAAACUCCUUUCGCUAUCGACGAAGCCACUUGUGGUGACGGUAGGUAGAUAAGAAGCACCGGCUAACUACGUGCCAGCAGCCGCGGUAAUA